CAAAACCCUAUACCUACACACACUAUAAAUAGCUAAAGAUAGAGACUAAGACCCUGGACACUAUACUCAGCCGUCACUUCCAUUUCCACACUACACCUAGAAACACACACACAGAUACAUAAUCAUCAGCCAUAGCAUGCACCUAUAUUUUUGGACUUAAUAGAUCUCCAUCUCUUAAAUAAACCAAAAAAAACGAGUCCUCUUUAUUCUUCAUUCAUGGGAUAGAGGUGCCGCGUAAUGAGAGUAUUUCGACUCAAGCUAUUAGUCGAGGUUUUCGUCUUUGCUUCGGGGUUCCUGUCAAGAACCGGUAUAUGUCCCCCUUUCCAAAUAGAAUUGUAAAUCAUCUGAAGGUUCUUAUCAAUACAUUGAGAAAGCUUUACUCAAGCCCCAGAUUGUUUGGCAGGUUAAGUAUAUAGCUAGGAUGCUUGGACGUCAGCUGGGAUUUGCAAGUUCCACCUCAUUUUGGAGCUGUGCUGAGUCAUGUAUAGAUACGUAUGAUUAUGGGUUUUAAUAGAGCGAAUGUCUAAGGGUUCGCUCGACUCUGAUGAGAGUCGGGUGCCCGUCAUGCCCUAUCAAGAUGAGGGUGUGACACCAACAAAAGCUUAGUACAUUAGAUGACGAUUAAAUCUAGGAAUUUCAGCAUGGCUUCCCUCAAGGAGCUUUUUCUAGCAGCAAGAAUCCAUUGUUGAUUUUACGCCUCCUUUUUCUGAUCUACUUUCUCUCUCUAUCCAUUAAACUAGAAGAAAAUUUUGUAUUAAUAUUGUAUGAAAGUUGUAUAUCAUGUUGUUGUAGUUGUAUUAAAAUCCGAAUUUCGAAGCGAAUUUAAAAUUGUAUUAAAUUUGUAUGAAAGUUGUGUACAAUGUUGCAGUAGUUAUAUUAAAUUUUUAAAA